GGCAGGUCUACUGUUGACUCACUCGCCUCCCCUCUCCCUGUUUCCAUCCAGUGGCAUUUGAAACGACAGGCAGUAGGGGACAAGCUCAGCUCCUCCUCCAGGGAAUGGAUCUUCUGCACACUCAUCUAUCACAGUGAAUUACACAGGAAAUAAGGCAAAGCAGCUCUUUUAAUGAAAGCAAUUCCCUAUUGGCCACAGGGGUCGCUGGUGUGCGGUGAACUGUGGAUUCUCCUGCCGACCUAAGCCCUCCCUAGGAACCCCCGGUCAUGGCCAGCAAUGACAUGCGAUCUCCAGGCAGGGCACCUUUGAUGGAUGCGCCACUCGGGAGCCCCACUCUGUCUCUUUAAUGGUUGAAUUUGUGUUUUACUAAAACCUUCUUU